AGUUAAUCUAUAAAUGUAUGUCUUGAAAACAUAUAAUAAAAUUAAAUUUUUAUUAACUU
rnacentral:tRNA from 1 species